AGGUCUUGUGUUUGAGAUGGGCUUUCUCCGU
rnacentral:piRNA from 1 species